GAUGAAGAACGUAGUGAAAUGCGAUAAGUAGUGUGAAUUGCAGAAUUCAGUGAAUCAUCGAAUCUUUGAACGCACAUUGCGCCCCUUGGUAUCCCGAGGGGCAUGCCUGUUCGAGCGUCAUUUCACCACUCAAGCCUGGCUUGGUGUUGGGCGACGUCCCCUUUAGGGACGCGCCUCGAAACGCUCGGCGGCGUGGCACCGGCUUUAAGCGUAGCAGAAUCUUUCGCUUUGGAAGUCGGGGCCCCGCCUGCCGGAAUACCUACUCGUAAGGUUGACCUCGGAUCAGGCAGGGAUACCCGCUGAACUUAAGUAUAUCAAUAAGCGGAGGA
rnacentral:misc_RNA from 1 species